AAUAGAUACCCGGGUAGUCCUAGCCGUAAACGAUACUCGCUAGGUGUCGGCCACGGUGCGACCGUUGUCGGUGCCGUAGAGAAGCCGUGAAGCGAGCCACCUGGGAAGUACGGCCGCAAGGCUGAAACUUAAAGGAAUUGGCGGGGGAGCACCACAACGGGUGGAGCUUGCGAUUUAAUUGGAUUCAACGCCGGAAAUCUUACCGGGACCGACAGCAACAUGAAGGCCAGGCUGAAGACUUUGCCGGAUUAGCUGAGAGGUGGUGCAUGGCCGUCGUCAGUUCGUACUGUGAAGCAUCCUGUUAAGUCAGGCAACGAGCGAGACCCACGCCCACAGUUGCCAGCGUACUCUCCGGAGUGACGGGUACACUGUGGGGACCGCCGCUGCUAAAGCGGAGGAAGGAAUGGGCAACGGUAGGUCAGUAUGCCCCGAAUAUCCCGGGCUACACGCGAGCUACAAUGGUUGGUACAAUGGGUAUCUACCCCGAAAGGGGAUGGAAAUCUCCUAAAGCCAAUCUUAGUUCGGAUUGAGGGCUGCAACUCG
rnacentral:rRNA from 1 species